rnacentral:rRNA from 1 species
GCGUGGGUGAAGAAGGCCUUCGGGUUGUAAAGCCCUUUCGACGGGGACGAUGAUGACGGUACCCGUAGAAGAAGCCCCGGCUAACUUCGUGCCAGCAGCCGCGGUAAUACGAAGGGGGCUAGCGUUGUUCGGAAUUACUGGGCGUAAAGGGCGCGUAGGCGGACCAUUAAGUCAGGGGUGAAAUCCCGGGGCUCAACCCCGGAAUUGCCUUUGAGACUGGCGGUCUUGAGGACGGGAGAGGGUCGUGGAAUUCCCAGUGUAGAGGUGAAAUUCGU